CACAGCCUUCACUGUACAGUCUUCACUCUUAAUGGAAACCCAGCAAAACUAUUGAUGGAUUAACACUGGACAUAUUGAAGCGAGUAAUGCGAAAUUGAAACUUACGCUUGGCCAUUUGAAUAAUGAGCCUGUUUACUCAGAAUGGCAGAGACAUAAAUUCAAGAUAAAAGCCAAGACAAUAAAACAUCUCAAGCCAUUUCAUUGUCUCACUGCAAUUUCUUUGACUACAUAUUAUUCUUAUUUGGUCAGGCUCUCUCAUUGUAUUACUUAUGCAAUCAAAAGCCGACAAAGUAAAUAGCCUGCAGCUGGUUAGCCAACACUGAUUUUCCAAUUCAAUGACAUUUAUUUGGGAGUUUGUGUAGUCAAACUUUCAUAGUCCAAUAAUCAUGGUGUGUGCAUAAUUUGUUGUCCUUUUAUGGCUCGGGGCAUAGAAAAGUAGUCAAUAAAUCAAGCAAAUUCAAUAUAGAGUAUGAAAAAAUAUUUAAUUUAAUCAAGUAUUUAAUGUAUACAAAUAUUAAAAAUAAUUUAUGUAA